rnacentral:rRNA from 1 species
CACGUAGGGCGCAAGCGUUGUCCGGAAUUAUUGGGCGUAAAGAGCUCGUAGGUGGUUUGUUACGUCUGCUGUGAAAACCUAGGGCUUAACCCUGGGCUUGCAGUGGAUACGGGGCAGACUAGAGGUAGGUAGGGGAGAAUGGAAUUCCUGGUGUAGCGGUGAAAUGCGCAGAUAUCAGGAGGAACACCAAUGGCGAAGGCAGAUCUCUGGGCCGUAACUGACGCUGAGGAGCGAAAGCAUGGGGAGCGAACAGG